rnacentral:rRNA from 1 species
GUGCCAGCCGCCGCGGUAAGACGAACCGUGCGAACGUUGUUCGGAAUCACUGGGCUUAAAGGGCGCGUAGGCGGGCUGCCAAGUCCGCGGUGAAAUCCCCCGGCUCAACCGGGGAACUGCCGCGGAUACUGGAAGUCUCGAGGGAGGUAGGGGCAUGCGGAACUGCGGGUGGAGCGGUGAAAUGCGUUGAUAUCCGCAGGAACUCCGGUGGCGAAGGCGGCGUGCUGGACCUCUUCUGACGCUGAGGCGCGAAAGCCAGGGGAGCGAACGGGAUUAGAUACCCCAGUAGUCC